GGGAUCUUGGACUCUAGGCGCAAGGCCUAGGUGUGUGGCUGAGAGAGCCGAGGCACGUAAAAUUAAAAUUUGCAAGAAGAAUUCAAAAUUAAGAUAUUCGCAGUAUUUGACCAAAAUUAAUGAUCUUCAAUCAGAAGUUAACAAUCUAAUCAUUAAGAAAAAAUAGAAAACAAAUAUAGACUUGAACAAAGAUAUUACUAUUGUUUUCCUCCAUUACUUGCUUUGGACAACAUUAACACUUUGAGAACUCUAAAUGAUAGUGCAUUUUACAAUGGCAUAGGCUUAGACCAAAAUUUCAUAUAUUUACGAUUGCAUUAAAAAAUAUAUAUCUACCUUAGCUGAAAAAUAGUUUUUUCUUUUUUGUCAACCCUUCAGUUAAUUUAUUCAAGUUCUU
rnacentral:misc_RNA from 1 species